rnacentral:rRNA from 1 species
UUAGGAGAGGUGAGAGCCUGACCUCCACCGAUGGGACUGAGACACGGCCCAUACACCUACGGGUGGCUGCAGUCGAGAAUCUUCCACAAUGGACGAAAGUCUGAUGGAGCGACGCCGCGUGAUCGAUGAAGUGCUUCGGUAUGUAAAGAUCUUUUAUGAGGGAAGAAGUUUAUUGACGGUACCUCAUGAAUAAGGGCCUGCAAAACUCGUGCCAGCAGCAGCGGUAAUACGAGUGGCCCAAGCGUUAUCCGGAAUUAUUGGGCGUAAAGGAUGUGUAGGUGGUUGUAUUAGUCGAAUGUCUAACCUCUGAGCUCAACUUGGAAACAGCAUUCGAAACGGUACGACUAGAGUAUGUUAGGGGUAAGCGGAACUAAUAGUGUAGGGGUGAAAUCCGUUGAUAUUAUUGGGAACACCAAAAGCGAAGGCAGCUUACUGGAACAUUACUGACACUGAAACAUGAAAGCGUGGGUAGCGAAUGGGAUUAGAUACCCCAGUAGUCCACGCCCUAAACGAUGUUCUCUCGCUAUGAAAAGUAUCGACCCUUUUCGUGGCUUAGCUAACGCGGUAAGAGAACCGCCUGGGAAGUACGAUCGCAAGAUUAAAACUCAAAGGAAUAGACGGGGACCUGCACAAGCAGUGGAUUAUGUGGUUUAAUUCGAUGGUAAACGAAGAACCUCACCAGGAUUUGAAACCCAAGUGUAAGGCAUAGAAAUAUGUCCCUCGCAAGACUCUUGGACAGGUGAUGCAUGGCCGUCGUCAGUUCGUGGUUUGAACUGUUCCCUUCAGUGGGGUAACGAACGCAACCCUUGUCGUGUGUUACAAGUGUCACACGAGACUGCCCCCUCACGGGGGAGGAAGGAGAGGAUGACGCCAGGUCAGCAUGUCCCUUUGACAUCCUGGGCUACACACAUAAUACAAUCGCAUAGACAACGGGUCGCGACGGGGUAACCCUGAGCCAAUCCUUCAAACUAUGCGCCAGUUCAGAUUGUGGUCUGCAACUCGACCACAUGAAGCCGGAAUUGCUAGUAAUCGCGGGUCAGCUAAACCGCGGUGAAUACGUUCUCGUCUCUUGUACUCACUGCCCGUCAACUCAAGGGAGCCGGGGAUACCCAAAGGCUUAGCUUGUCUAGGACUAAGGUAGAUUCGGUGACAGGGAGUAAGUCGUAACAAGGCACGGCUAGCGGAAGCUGGUCGUG